ensembl:lncRNA
CCUUCUUCCCCUUCAGGUAGGCCUAUAAUUCUGUUUGACUUCAACAAUUGUGGGGGCUCGUCCGGGAUUGGAUAAAGAAGAAGGAAUUCAAUCCGGUCCAGUUGACCUACACAGGAUUCACAGGAUCCAGCGCCGGCGCAUCAGAAAGGGGUCGACAAUGGCGAUACAUGUGACUACCACAGGGGUUUGCGCUUUCCCCUGGCAUAAUUCAACCAGGUACUGAGAGAAGCACUGCAAGGAUGCUCGCUGCCGAUAGGGGUAACUUUGGUCCAGUACGUAGACGACCUGCUGCUGGCGGCCCCGACGGUGGCCGCCUGCAUCAAUUGCUACAAUGACGGUCCUCACCAGACUGGCUGAAAAAGGGUUCAAGGUGUCGAAAGAAAAACUACAGUUGGUAAGAACACAAGUCUCCUUUCUGGGCAGAGUAAUCUCGCAGAAGGGAGCGGGGCUUUCACCGGCACACCACACAACCAUUCUCCACCAUCCCAAACCCACUACUGUUCAGGAAAUUUUAUCAUUCCUGGGGCUCACGGGGUACAGCCGCAAUUGCAUCCAACACUACU